AGCUUCAGACUCUCUAUGAUGCUGGCUCCGCACGCGCAGCGCCCCAGCCACCCUCCGCGUCUGUCUCCAUUUUCUGAAACGGAGUCCGCAGCGGGUGCGACGGGGUCCUCACGGGAAGGAAGAGCCCCCAAGCUCGUGAGUCCAGGAGCCCAGAGGACCCCACAGGCUUCAGUAUGAGCUCACGGAGACCCAGGAUGCCUCGCUGUACUCGCGAUUUGUUGCCAAGGAACACUUGGAUGAUCAGCUCAUCCUGCGCUACGACAGUGGGAACAGCAGACCAGACACCCCAGGCCUGCUGGCAUGAGUAGUCCUGGGGGCUGAGCCGGGGGACACAGUGACCAGUGGCUUUACAGGGGACAGGAGGGACCUCUUGAGGAAGCUGGCAGAUAUCAGGGAAAAGCAGAGCCAGAGUGGAGGCUCCCGUUCCCUCCAGGAGGUUCGGGGCUGUGAGAUCCAGGAAGACACCACCAGGGCCUUCUGGCGGUCCUUCUAUAACGGGGAGCCCUUCCUCUUCUAUAACGAGACGACCCAUGAGUGGGAAGCACCCCAGUCCUCGGUUCUUCCCUUGGCUGUGGAAGUCAAGAAAUCCUGGGACACAGAUAGGAUUGGAAGCCAGAAUUCCUGGGCCCUUGUGCGUGGUGACGUUUGUGGAAAACUGCGGAGAUAUCGGGAAUCCUGGAAGGCCUUCAUUUAGAGAACAGCUGUGAAUGCCACCUGCAGCCCUGCCUCGGAGGGCAUGGUCAUCAUGACCUGCUGGGCAUCCGGCUUCUCUCCCUGGAAUAUCUCACUGGUCUGGCCUCAGGACGAUGAGCCUCUGAGCCCAGAUGCCCAGCUGCCUGGGGGUAUCCUGCGUGAUGAGAAUGGGACCUAUUGGUCCUGGGUGACCCUAUGGGUUCCCCAAGGAGAGGAGCAGAGGGUCACCUGCUCUGUGGAACAUUACUGGAACUGCACUGUGACCUGUGGAAAGGAGCCAGUGCAUCGGCGUCCAUGGCCAGCUGUGUCUUGGGGUAUCGCUGUCGGUGCCAGUUUCACUGUCCUUUUCGCUGCUGUCCUUCUUUAUAACUUUUGGCUCAGAAAGACAUCAGCUGGGGAAUGUCCAGGGACCGUUAGCCUGCAAGACCUGAGCCAAGUGGUGAAAACGGACCUUGGGUGCUGGUCCGGAUCUUCAAGCUGCUGGGCCUCAGGGCUCUCAGCCUCUGUUGUCAGAGCCUGAGUCCGGGGACUCAACUGUGGGCUCUUAGCAUCUGCACAUUUAGAGUGGACUCACUGCCUGCACUCCUCUCAUCAGCACUUUCUCUUGGUGCCUUUGUUUUCUCAUCUGCAAUUAGAUAACAGCAUUCUCUGUAACUGUCUUUCCUCUGUACCUCCUGAGGAUUCUCACACCAGCUUUCCUUUGUGCUCUGUCACUUUGUAUCUCAGUGCACAUCUUGUAAUAUGUGUGUAUAUGUAUAUAUGUGUAUGUGUAUUUAUAUAUAAACCUAUUGAUUUCAUUUGUGCAGUAUUUUACAAUUUUAUAUUAUAAAUCUUUAAACAUACAUAUAUGGUGUGUGU